rnacentral:rRNA from 1 species
GAUGAGCAUGCGUCCCAUUAGCUAGUUGGUAAGGUAACGGCUUACCAAGGCAACGAUGGGUAGGGGUCCUGAGAGGGAGAUCCCCCACACUGGUACUGAGACACGGACCAGACCCCUACGGGAGGCAGCAGUGAGGAAUAUUGGUCAAUGGGCGCAAGCCUGAACCAGCCAUGCCGCGUGCAGGAUGAAGCAUCUAUGGUGUGUAAACUGCUUUUGUACGAGAAGAAACACUCCUACGUGUAGGAGCUUGACGGUAUCGUAAGAAUAAGGACCGGCUAACUCCGUGCCAGCAGCCGCGGUAAUACGGAGGGUCCAAGCGUUAUCCGGAAUCAUUGGGUUUAAAGGGUCC